rnacentral:rRNA from 1 species
CGCGUGGAGCAUGUGGCUUAAUUUGACUCAACACGGGAAAUCUUACCGGGUCCGGACAUACCGAGGAUUGACAGACUGUUAACUGCAACACAAGCUGCUAAGUUUUAAACUUAAUAGCUCUUUCAUGAUUAUAUGAUAGGUGGUGCAUGGCCGUUCUUAGUUCGUGGAGUGAUCUGUCUGCUUAAUUGCGUUUCAAAAUUUAAACCUGAGCGACAAGGUGCUGCUAUCGAAACUGUCUUUGAGUGUGAACUAUAAGUCUUUUGACUUAUGACCAUCACUCUAGACGUUUAUGUUUUGGUGUUGGCCCUUGAUGCUCAUUUGAACGCAACGGACGUGAUUGCAACCCCUUGUUGAGAUUUAUCCGAUCUCUACGUUCACUGAACCACACUCUUUAGCGAGAGCAGUGGGGAUGUGGAUAAACUCGGGGGACUGCUGACUAUAAACUUUUCUCAAACCAGAGGAAGGUUGCGGCAAUAACAGGUCUGUGAUGCCCUCAGAUGUU